GGAUGUGAGGGCGAUCUGGUUGCAACAUGUGUCACCCCAUUGAUAGCCAGGGUUGAUUCGGCUGAUCUGGCUGGUUAGAUGUCCUCUUCCUCCCUUACCGCUCCAUGUGCGUCCCUCCCGAAGCUGCGAGCCCGAAGCUGCGAGGACGACCAUCCCCGACAGAGGAGGACCGGUCUUGGGUCAAGGGUAUACGAGUAGCUGCGCUCCCCUGCUAGAACCUCCAAACAAGCUCUCAAAAACAGAAGCGUUUGGUUUCUGUGGGAUAAAAGAUGCGAUAGCAUAGACAGAGGUUUUAGUUGCUUGAUGCAGAUAUGCAUUCCAAA
ensembl:misc_RNA 7SK 7SK RNA